UACGAAGGGGGCUAGCGUUGUUCGGAAUCACUGGGCGUAAAGCGCUCGUAGGCGGAUCUUUUAAGUCCGCUGUGAAAAGUCAAAAGGCUCAACCUUUGAAAGCCGGUGGAUACUGGAUGGCUAGAGUACGGAAGAGGCGAGUGGAAUUCCUGGUGUAGCGGUGGAAUGCGCAGAUAUCAGGAGGAACACCAAUUAGCGAAGGCAGCUCGCUGGGACGUUACUGACACUGGAGGCGCGAAAGCGUGGGGAGCGAACAGG
rnacentral:rRNA from 1 species